AUUGAACGCUGGCGGCAGGCUUAACACAUGCAAGUCGAGCGGGGUGAAGUGCUUCGGUACUGAUCCUAGCGGCGGACGGGUGAGUAAUGCUUAGGAAUCUGCCAUUUAGUGGGGGACAACAUUCCGAAAGGAAUGCUAAUACCGCAUACGUCCUACGGGAGAAAGCAGGGGAUCUUCGGACCUUGCGCUAAAUGAUGAGCCUAAGUCGGAUUGGCUAGUUGGUGGGGUAAAGGCCUACCAAGGCGACGAUCUGUAGCGGGUCUGAGAGGAUGAUCCGCCACACUGGGACUGAGACACGGCCCAGACUCCUACGGGAGGCAGCAGUGGGGAAUAUUGGACAAUGGGCGGAAGCCUGAUCCAGCCAUGCCGCGUGUGUGAAGAAGGCCUUUUGGUUGUAAAGCACUUUAAGCGAGGAGGAGGCUACCUGGAUUAAUACUCUAGGAUAGUGGACGUUACUCGCAGAAUAAGCACCGGCUAACUCUGUGCCAGCCGCCGCCGUAACAC
rnacentral:rRNA from 1 species